GACGAACGCUGGCGGCGUGCUUAACACAUGCAAGUCGAACGGAAAGGCCUGCUUUCCCUUGUGGUUUGCGGGUACUCGAGUGGCGAACGGGUGAGUAACACGUGAGUGAUCUGCCCCCAACUUGGGUAUAAGCCUGGGAAACUGGGUCUAAUUCCCGAUAGGACUGCAGGGUGGUGCCUGUGGUGGAAAACGAUUUUCUAGUGGUUGGGGAUGAGCUCGCGGCCUAUCAGCUUGUUGGUGGGGUAAUGGCCUACCAAGGCGGCGACGGGUAGCCGGCCUGAGAGGGUGGACGGCCACAUUGGGACUGAGAUACGGCCCAGACUCCUACGGGAGGCAGCAGUGGGGAAUAUUGCACAAUGGGCGGAAGCCUGAUGCAGCGACGCCGCGUGGGGGAUGACGGCCUUCGGGUUGUAAACUCCUUUCGACCGCGAGGAAGCCACCUGGUUGGAAGGGUGGUGACGGUAGUGGUAGAAGAAGCACCGGCUAACUACGUG
rnacentral:rRNA from 1 species